AUUGAACGCUGGCGGCAUGCCUUACACAUGCAAGUCGAACGGUAACGGGCCUUCGGGUGCCGACGAGUGGCGAACGGGUGAGUAAUACAUCGGAACGUGCCCGAUCGUGGGGGAUAACGAGGCGAAAGCUUUGCUAAUACCGCAUACGAUCUACGGAUGAAAGCAGGGGACCGCAAGGGCUUGCGCGGACGGAGCGGACGAUGGCAGAUUAGGUAGUUGGUGGGGUAAAAGCUUACCAAGCCGACGAUCUGUAGCUGGUCUGAGAGGAUGAUCAGCCACACUGGGACUGAGACACGGCCCAGACUCCUACGGGAGGCAGCAGUGGGGAAUUUUGGACAAUGGGCGCAAGCCUGAUCCAGCCAUGCCGCGUGCAGGAUGAAGGCCUUCGGGUUGUAAACUGCUUUUGUACGGAACGAAAAGCAUUCUUUUAAUACAGGAGGGUCAUGACGGUACCGUAAGAAUAAGCACCGGCUAACUACGUG
rnacentral:rRNA from 1 species